UCUACCUCUCUCUCUCUUUCUAUCUCUAUCUCUCUAUCUCUAUCUCUCUCUCUCCUCCGUAAGAACAAGAAGCUGAAGUUUCAUAAAAAAAACCAUGGAUUUCUACUAAAUUAACGCACAAAAUUCGUUUUUGGUGAAGAUUAAGUUGCUCCUCUUGGUAUAUAAACUCUUGAAAAAAAUCAAAGGGGAAGUGUUUGAGGAAGUGGACAUAUUUGGUUUGUUUACGGCGUAGACGAUUCGAACGUCCCCAAGUUGUGAUUGAACUGUUUUGUGGUAAAACACCAAGUAGGAAAUGUUCGGGAUAAAAUCUGAAGAUGGCCAGGGUGAAGUAGUCUCUUUGGGAGAAUUUAUGGAGAUCAC